rnacentral:rRNA from 1 species
UAGGGAAUUUUCGGCAAUGGGCGAAAGCCUGACCGAGCAAUGCCGCGUGAACGAUGAAGGUCUUCGGAUUGUAAAGUUCUGUUAUUAGGGAAGAACGAUAUAUAUAGGAAAUGAUAUAUAGAUGACGGUACCUAAUGAGAAAGCCCCGGCUAACUAUGUGCCAGCAGCCGCGGUAAUACAUAGGGGGCAAGCGUUAUCCGGAAUUAUUGGGCGUAAAGAGUGCGUAGGCGGUCGAUUAAGUCUGGUGUGAAAUUGCAGGGCUUAACCCUGUAGGGUCAUUGGAAACUGAUCGACUUGAGUAUGGCAGAGGUAAGUGGAAUUCAAUGUGUAGCGGUGGAAUGCGUAGAUAUAUUGAGGAACACCAGUGGCGAAGGCGGCUUACUGGGCCAGAACUGACGCUGAGGCACGAAAGCGUGGGGAGCAAACA